rnacentral:rRNA from 1 species
CAGUAGCCGCGGUAAUGCGUAGGUCCCGAGCGUUGUCCGGAUUUAUUGGGCGUAAAGGGAGCGCAGGCGGUUUAGUAAGUCUGAAGUUAAAGGCAUUGGCUCAACCAAUGUAUGCUUUGGAAACUGUUAGACCUGAGCGCAGAAGGGGAGAGUGGAAUUCCAUGUGUAGCGGUGAAAUGCGUAGAUAUAUGGAGGAACACCGGUGGCGAAAGCGGCUCUCUGGUCUGUCACUGACGCUGAGGCUCGAAAGCGUGGGUAGCGAACAGGAUUAGAUACCCGGGUAGUCCCUGUCUCUUAUACC